rnacentral:misc_RNA from 1 species
GAUGAAGAACGUAGCGAAAUGCGAUAAGUAAUGUGAAUUGCAGAAUUCAGUGAAUCAUCGAAUCUUUGAACGCACAUUGCGCCCGCCAGUAUUCUGGCGGGCAUGCCUGUCCGAGCGUCAUUUCAACCCUCAGGCCCCCAGUGCCUGGCGUUGGGGAUCGGCCCAGGGGGCGACCGCGCAAGCGGCCGCCUCCCGCCGGCCCCGAAAUCUAGUGGCGGUCUCGCUGUAGUCCUCCUCUGCGUAGUAGCACAACCUCGCAGCUGGAACGCGGCGGUGGCCCUGCCGUAAAACACCCCACUUCUGAAAGUUGACCUCGGAUCAGGUAGGAAUACCCGCUGAACUUAAGCAUAUCAAUAAGCGGAGGA